GACUGCAUUCCACCUCCAGGCUACUCGGUUCUUUGCAGCUCCCUGCCCUUUUGCCCCUUUAACUUUUUUUUUUCCUUUUCCCUACUGCUCUUCCUACAUCAGCCAGCGUGUGCCUGUGGUGGGUUUUGUCCUUCUCCGAAGCUGUUUGCUUCUGCUCUCUUGUUUCUGUGGUUGUUUCCAUGGGUGACACCAUGUCUGGGAUGCAGGGCACCACGCACGGGGAACCAUGAUGCCGCAGCAGCGUGCUCUGCACUCCCUCCCUUCCUUCUCCGAUACUGGUCAAGUGCUGGUUGCCUUCAGGAACUUGCCGAGCAGCGCUGGAGCUUUUGUGGAGCAGCCUGUCAGCCCCAGGAUCUCUUUCUGCAAGGUCAACUCAGGGCUCAUCCUUUUUAGUGUGAAAUAGGAUUUUUUUACUUAUUGGUGUGUGCAUCACUUUAUCUACAUGCGAUUUCAUCUACCACUUUACUACCAGGUUACUUAGAGCCAUCAUUAUUUUCUGCUGUUCUUCACAGCUGCUUGCCUUCCUUGCCUCGGGUAUUACCGUCAGCGUCCGUGGUCGCUGCCCACCCUCCUGCUGUCCUGUUGACUCAGAUAAUGGCGUGGUCCCAGCUUCUGUCCCUGAAGCUGCUGUGACUCCCUCCCUUGCUGGAAAUGACUGUUUACUCCCGCCCUUGUUCGUUAUCUCUUGCCCAGUUGUUUAUCCCUGCGGGGCCGGUCCCUGUUCCGGUAUGGCCUCGCGGAUUCCUUGUGAGAAGCCUUUGAGGGAGCCACAAGUCCUGAAAAUCAAAGUGGUCUGCGCUGCCUUCUGCGAGGCUGAGGGUCCCAUUGCAGAAGUCUCAAUGAUUUUCUUUUUUUUUCCUGGUGUAUCAUAUUUAUACAGAUACACUAGUAGUCCGCUAAUUCGAGUCUGUAUUUUAAAUGUUGUCUAUUUUUCCUCGAAGAGUGCUGGGUUUGGAGGCCUACAAGUCACCAGGGUUUUCUUUGCCUUACAGCAGUGGCGUCAUGCUCACCUCCCUGCUGGCCCCAGGUACCAAGGCAGUUUUAGGAAGGCUGUAGGCGGCUUGCCGGUUUCCUCUUUCGUGAACACCAGCCAGGGCUGGCAACCCGCUGCUCCUCGCUUUGGCUCUGUGUUCUGUGACCUCUGUUUUUUUCAGCCAUUUCAGUGUCAGCCAGUUUGCCGAAGAGUCCCCAGAGGAACAGAUGGGUCUGGUUUUUGUACCGUGAGCAGAAAUGUGAAGAAGUUGUUUCACUUUUCCCGUGAGCCACUGUCCCUCUUCUAGCAGCACUAAGAAGGGAACCUGCUCCGGCUGGAGGCUUCCUGCAGGGAGGCUCCCCUCGAGGGACGCCCAGCACACCUGUGGCUCUGGCAGUGGUGGGACAGAAGCUGCGGUGGUCGUGGGUGAGCUGGAUGGCAGCAGCAUGGUGGGGCUGUAACCUUAGGAAGGGAAUCCACCAAAUCAUUGGCAGUUCCUUGCUAGGAAUUACCUCGCUUGACAGCUAAUCCCCUGUUUCUCCGAGGGAGUGAGAAGUGAUGCAGCUCGAGCUGCUGGAGCGUCCUCUGUGGUGAGGCUGUUUCUGAAGGCAAACUUGCCUCUGCUAGAGCGCAGUCGGGCUGCUUACGCCUGCCAGCGAUCAGUGCUUCAGAGAGCUGGUAAAGCCAUCACCGGAGUUGUUUGUGACACAUCUUUGAGUAUGUGCUGCAUCAACCUGUGAGGCUGCGCCUGCAUUUAUCUCCACGGCAUCUAGUGUGCUAACGUAUUUUCACAAGCUUGUAUAUUCCCGUGAGUAUUUUAUUCUUGUAAUGCCACUGGGAAAUGACUUGUAACCGAACUGAUGGUGAAGCCUUAGCCAGACUUGGGAGUAGAACGGUUGUCCAAAGACUGCAGAGGCCUCCAGCCGUUGUAUGAAAGGAGGCUGCGUUGGCAUAGGGUCUGUUCUGGUAUGCUCUGCUUUCUAUUUCUCUUUAGCUGACCAGCGUGCUGCAGCCCU